GAUGAACGCUAGCGGCAGGCUUAACACAUGCAAGUCGAGGGGCAGCAUAAACAUUGCUUGCAAUGUUUGAUGGCGACCGGCGCACGGGUGCGUAACGCGUAUGCAACCUACCCAUAACAGGGGGAUAACACUGAGAAAUUGGUACUAAUACCCCGUAAUAUUAUGAAAGGCAUCUUUUAUAGUUGAAAGUUCCGGCGGUUAUGGAUGGGCAUGCGUUGUAUUAGCUAGUUGGUGAGGUAACGGCUCACCAAGGCGACGAUACAUAGGGGGACUGAGAGGUUAACCCCCCCACAUUGGUACUGAGACACGGACCAAACUCCUACGGGAGGCAGCAGUGAGGAAUAUUGGUCAAUGGUCGAAGGACUGAACCAGCCAUGCCGCGUGAAGGUGACGGCCCUAUGGGUCUUAAACUUCUUUUGUAAGGGAGCAAUAAGGUCUACGUGUAGACUGAUGAGAGUACCUUACGAAUAAGCAUCGGCUAACUCCGUGCCAGCAGCCG
rnacentral:rRNA from 1 species